UACAGGGGGGGCAAGCGUUGUUCGGAAUUACUGGGCGUAAAGGGCUCGUAGGCGGCCAACUAAGUCACCCGUGAAAUCCCCAGGCUUAACCUGGGAACUGCGUGUGAUACUGGAUGGCUUGAAUUCGGGAGAGGGAUGCAGAAUUCCAGGUGUAGCGGUGAAAUGCGUAGAUAUCUGGAGGAAUACCGGUGGCGAAGGCGGCAUCCUGGACCGACAUUGACGCUGAUGAGCGAAAGCUAGGGGAGCAAACAGG
rnacentral:rRNA from 1 species